UCCCUACGGGGGGCAGCAGUGAGGAAUAUUGGUCAAUGGGCUUACGCCUGAACCAGCCAAGUCGCGUGAGGGAAGACUGCCCUAUGGGUUGUAAACCUCUUUUGUCGGGGAGCAAAAGACGCCACGCGUGGCGUUCCGAGAGUACCCGAAGAAAAAGCAUCGGCUAACUCCGUGCCAGCAGCCGCGGUAAUACGGAGGAUGCGAGCGUUAUCCGGAUUUAUUGGGUUUAAAGGGAGCGUAGGUGGAUUGUUAAGUCAGUUGUGAAAGUUUGCGGCUCAACCGUAAAAUUGCAGUUGAGACUGGCA
rnacentral:rRNA from 1 species